rnacentral:rRNA from 1 species
GAUGAACGCUAGCUACAGGCUUAACACAUGCAAGUCGAGGGGCAGCAUGAUCGAAGCUUGCUUUGAUUGAUGGCGACCGGCGCACGGGUGAGUAACGCGUAUCCAACCUUCCCACAAGUUGGGGAUAGCCCGGCGAAAGUCGGAUUAAUACCCGAUGUGGUGCAUUGAUGACAUCAGAUUUGCACUAAAGGUUUUCCGCUUGCGGAUGGGGAUGCGUACGAUUAGGUAGACGGCGGGGUAACGGCCCACCGUGCCAUCGAUCGUUAGGGGUUCUGAGAGGAAGGUCCCCCACACUGGUACUGAGACACGGACCAGACUCC